CAAGAAGGAAGGAGCUUUUUGUCAUGGAAGAGAGGAGAAACUGGAUGCAGGAGCAGUGUCUGACACUGCUGCGAGAUGAAGAAUCCCUGGCUGGGAUUAUCUGAAUGAAGAUUCAGAGGUUGGGAUUUUCAGUAGUGCUUGAUGCUGUUUGAACUGUGCUCCUAUGGACAUCAACAGGAAUCUGUUAGCUUCAGUUGGACCAGACUAUGUCCAGUGCUGCAUCCAUGAUCCUGGAAGACCCACCCACCAGAAGGAUCACAAGGUGACAGAUAACAGUGUUUAUUUUUACCGGGCCUAAAAGCCACUUGGAAGGCCAAGAUCAUGCACAGACAAGUACAGGAAAACAAUUCUUUUGAUGAGAUUAUGAAAUCUAAGAACUAC